rnacentral:rRNA from 1 species
UCAGGACGAACGCUGGCGGCGUGCUNACACAUGCAAGUCAAGGAGAAAGUCUGACUUCGGUUGGAUGAGUAAACUGGCGGAUGGGUGAGUAACACGUAGGCAACCUGCCUUCAGGUUUGGGAUAACAUUGCUAACGCGGUGCUAAUACCGAAUGAAGCGAUAUUAUUGCAUGAUAGUGUCGUUAAAGUUGGCCACUGAUUCAAGCUAACGCCUGGGGAUGGGCCUGCGUCCCAUUAGCUAGUUGGUGAGGUAAAGGCUCACCAAGGUAACGAUGGGUAGCCGGCCUGAGAGGGUGACCGGCCACACUGGGACUGAGAUACGGCCCAGACUCCUACGGGAGGCAGCAGUGAGGAAUAUUGCGCAAUGGACGAAAGUCUGACGCAGCAACGCCGCGUGAGGGAUGAAGCUUUUAGGAGUGUAAACCUUUGUUAGGAGGGAAGAAAGAUCAUUGCUCGAACAGGGUAAUGGUUUGACGGUACCUCCAGAGGAAGCCCCGGCUAACUCCGUGCCAGCAGCCGCGGUAAUACGGGGGGGGCUAGCGUUGUCCGGAAUUAUUGGGCGUAAAGGGCGCGUAGGCGGGAUGCUAAGUCUGAGGUGAAAGUUUGCGGCUUAACCGUAGAAUUGCCUUGGAUACUGGCAUUCUUGAGUUCGGGAGAGGGAAGUGGAAUUCCUGGUGUAGCGGUGAAAUGCGUAGAUAUCAGGAAGAACAUCGGUGGCGAAGGCGGCUUCCUGGACCGAUACUGACGCUGAUGCGCGAAAGCGUGGGGAGCAAACAGGAUUAGAUACCCUGGUAGUCCACGCUGUAAACGAUGGGUACUAGGUGUCGGGAUUUAUCUCGGGGCCGGAGCAAACGCAUUAAGUACCCCGGCUGGGGAGUACGAUCGCCAGAUUGAAACUC